GACGAACGCUGGCGGCGUGCCUAAUACAUGCAAGUUGAGCGCUGAAGGUUGGUACUUGUACCAACUGGAUGAGCAGCGAACGGGUGAGUAACGCGUGGGGAAUCUGCCUUUGAGCGGGGGACAACAUUUGGAAACGAAUGCUAAUGCCGCAUAAAAACUUUAAACACAAGUUUUAAGUUUAAAAGAUGCAAUUGCAUCACUCAAAGAUGAUCCCGCGUUGCAUUAGCUAGUUGGUGAGGUAAAGGCUCACCAAGGCGAUGAUACAUAGCCGACCUGAGAGGGUGAUCGGCCACAUUGGGACUGAGACACGGCCCAAACUCCUACGGGAGGCAGCAGUAGGGAAUCUUCGGCAAUGGACGAAAGUCUGACCGAGCAACGCCGCGUGAGUGAAGAAGGGUUUCGGAUCGUAAAACUCUGUUGGUAGAGAAGAACGUUGGUGAGAGUGGAAAGCUCAUCAAGUGACGGUAACUACCCAGAAAGGGACGGCUAACUACGUG
rnacentral:rRNA from 1 species